rnacentral:sRNA from 1 species
ACCAGGCAUGGUGGUCCACGCCUGUAAUCCUAGCCACUCGGGAGGCUGAGGCAGGAGGACCACAAGUUCAAAGCCAGCCUCAGCAAUGGUGAGACCCUGUCUCUA